rnacentral:rRNA from 1 species
AUAAAUGAGAUAAGUCGUAACAUAGUAGAUGUAUUGGAAAAUGUAUCUAGAAAGUCAACUUAUAGUUCUAAUAGGGAAUUCCCCAUUUACACUGGGUGGGCUCCUGUGCAAUUCAGGAUUGGUUGUAAAA